rnacentral:rRNA from 1 species
AUUGCACAAUGGGGGAAACCCUGAUGCAGCGACGCCGCGUGAGCGAAGAAGUAUUUCGGUAUGUAAAGCUCUAUCAGCAGGGAAGAAAAUGACGGUACCUGACUAAGAAGCCCCGGCUAACUACGUGCCAGCAGCCGCGGUAAUA